CACGUAGUUAGCCGGGGCUUCUUAGUCAGGUACCGUCAUCUUCUUCCCUGCUGAUAGAGCUUUACAUACCGAAAUACUUCUUCACUCACGCGGCGUCGCCGCAUCAGGGUUUCCCCCAUUGUGCAAUAUUCCCCACUGCUGCCUCCCGUAGGAGUUUGGGCCGUGUCUCAGUCCCAAUGUGGCCGGUCACUCUCUCAAGCCGGCUACUGAUCGCUGCCUUGGUAGGCCGUUACCCUGCCAACUAGCUAAUCAGACGCGGGCCCAUCCUGUACCACCGGAGUUUUUCACACCGUGCCAUGCGGCACUGUGCGCUUAUGCGGUAUUAGCACCCAUUUCUGGGUGUUAUCCCCCGGUACAGGGCAGGUUGCCCACGCGUUACUCACCCGUCCGCCACUCAGUCAUACCCCUCUUCCGCCCGGAGGCUUCCGUGGUGUAUGCUUCGUUCGACUUGCAUGUGUUAGGCACGCCGCCAGCGUUCAUCCUGAGCCAGGAUCAAACUCUC
rnacentral:rRNA from 1 species